rnacentral:ncRNA from 1 species
GUAAUGGUAAUGACGGAGAAAAGUAGGCCAGUUGGAACCUUACAGGGAGGGGAUGUCAUCGACUGGAAGCAUCCCCAAGGCGAAGGCGGUUGAAGUUCUCUCCCGAACCGGUGAUUUGAAACUGCCUGUCCGGCAGCAAGUAGGGUCACCCGGGACUUCCGCCGUUACAAGGGAGGGUGUAUCGGACUUGGCAUAGUGUGAUCCCGUACAUCUGGCGAGGGGGUCUGGGUGAUACCCGGGCCAACUAGGGUGGUACCGCGGAAGUACAACUUCUCGUCCCUAAU